GAUGAACGCUGGCGGCGUGCCUAAUACAUGCAAGUCGAGCGAACAGACGAGGAGCUUGCUCCUCUGACGUUAGCGGCGGACGGGUGAGUAACACGUGGAUAACCUACCUCUAAGACUGGGAUAACUUCGGGAAACCGGAGCUACUACCGGCUAAUAUAUUUAACCGCAUGGUUCAAUAGUGAAAGACGUUUUUGCUUUCACUUAUAGAUGGAUCCGCGCCGCAUUAGCUAGUUGGUAAGGUAACGGCUUAUCAAGGCGACGAUGCGUAGCCGACCUGAGAGGGAGAACGGGCACACGGGAACUGAGAGACAGCCCAGACACCUACGGGGGGCAGCAGUAGGGAAUCUUCCGCGAUGGGGGAAAGCCUGACGGAGCAAAGCCGAGUGAGUGAUGAAGGUCUUCGGAUCGUAAAACGAUGUUAUUAGGGAAGAAGAAAUGUGUAAGUAAAUAUGAACGUCUUGACGGUACCAAAUCAGAAAGCCACGGCUAACUACGUG
rnacentral:rRNA from 1 species